UGGGGAAUUUUGCACAAUGGGGGAAACCCUGAUGCAGCGACGCCGCGUGAUUUAGAAGGCCUUCGGGUUGUAAAAAUCUUUUUUAUGGGAUGAAAAUGACAGUACCAUAAGAAUAAGGUCCGGCUAAAUACGUGCCAGCAGCCGCGGUAAUACGUAUGGACCGAGCGUUGUCCGGAAUCAUUGGGCGUAAAGGGUACGUAGGCGGCCCAGUAAGUUAGAAGUGAAAUAAUAUAGCUCAACUAUAUAAAGCUUUUAAAACUGCUAGGCUUGAGAGAUGGAAGGGAAAGUGGAAUUCCUAGUGUAGCGGUGAAAUGCGCAGAUAUAAGGAAGAAUACCGGUGGCGAAGGCGACUUUCUGGUCAUCAUCUGACGCUGAGGUACGAAAGCGUGGGUAGCAAACAGG
rnacentral:rRNA from 1 species